CCUACGGGUGGCAGCAGUGGGGAAUAUUGGGCAAUGGGCGCAAGCCUGACCCAGCAACGCCGCGUGAAGGAAGAAGGCUUUCGGGUUGUAAACUUCUAUUCUGAGGGACGAAGAAAGUGACGGUACCUCAGGAAUAAGCCACGGCUAACUACGGACCAGCGGCCGCGGUAUAAGGUAGGUGGCAAAGGUUAUCCGGUUUUAUUGGGUGUAAAGGGCGGGUAGGCGGGAAAGCAAGUCAGAUGUGAAAACUCAGGGCUCAACCCUGAGCCUGCAUUUGAAACUGUUUUUCUUGAGUGCUGGAGAGGCAAUCGGAAUUCCGUGUGUAGCGGUGAAAUGCGUAGAUAUACGGAGGAACACCAGUGGCGAAGGCGGAUUGCUGGACAGUAACUGACGCUGAGGCGCGAAAGCGUGGGGAGCAAACAGGAUUAGAUACCCCUGUAGUC
rnacentral:rRNA from 1 species